GAUGAAGAACGCAGCGAAAUGCGAUAAGUAAUGUGAAUUGCAGAAUUCAGUGAAUCAUCGAAUCUUUGAACGCACAUUGCGCCCGCCAGUAUUCUGGCAGGCAUGCCUGUUCGAGCGUCAUUUCAACCAUCAAGCCCCGGGCUUGUGUUGGGGACCUGCGGCUGCCGCAGGCCCUGAAAUGCAGUGGCGGGCUCGCUGUCACUCCGAGCGUAGUAGUUACAUCUCGCUCUGGGCGUGCUGCGGGUUCCGGCCGUUAAAAGCCUUAUUUACCCAAGGUUGACCUCGGAUAGGUAGGAAGACCCGCUGAACUUAAGCAUAUCAAUAAGCGGAGGA
rnacentral:misc_RNA from 1 species